rnacentral:rRNA from 1 species
GAUGAACGCUGGCGGCGUGCCUAAUACAUGCAAGUCGAGCGAACGGACGAGAAGCUUGCUCCUCUGAUGUUAGCGGCGGACGGGUGAGUAACACGUGGAUAACCUACCUAUAAGACUGGGAUAACUUCGGGAAACCGGAGCUAAUACCGGAUAAUAUUUUGAACCGCAUGGUUCAAAAGUGAAAGACGGUCUUGCUGUCACUUAUAGAUGGAUACGCGCUGCAUUAGCUAGUUGGUAAGGUAACGGCUUACCAAGGCAACGAUGCAUAGCCGACCUGAGAGGGUGAUCGGCCACACUGGAACUGAGACACGGUCCAGACUCCUACGGGAGGCAGCAGUAGGGAAUCUUCCGCAAUGGGCGAAAGCCUGACGGAGCAACGCCGCGUGAGUGAUGAAGGUCUUCGGAUCGUAAAACUCUGUUAUUAGGGAAGAACAUAUGUGUAAGUAACUGUGCACAUCUUGACGGUACCUAAUCAGAAAGCCACGGCUAACUACGUG